rnacentral:rRNA from 1 species
UACGUAGGGGGCGAGCGUUGUCCGGAAUCAUUGGGCGUAAAGCGCGUGUAGGCGGCCCGGUAAGUCCGCUGUGAAAGUCCAGGGCUCAACCCUGGGAUGCCGGUGGAUACUGUCGGGCUCGAGUCCGGAAGAGGCGAGUGGAAUUCCUGGUGUAGCGGUGAAAUGCGCAGAUAUCAGGAGGAACACCAAUGGCGAAGGCAGCUCGCUGGGACGUGACUGACGCUGAUGCGCGAAAGCUAGGGGAGCAAACAGG